rnacentral:rRNA from 1 species
UACGUAGGGGCCAAGCGUUGUCCGGAUUUAUUGGGCGUAAAGAGCUCGUAGGCGGUUCGGCAAGUCAGCUGUGAAAUCUCCUGGCUCAACUGGGAGCUUGCAGGCGAAACUGCCGUGCUGGAGUGUGGGAGAGGUGCGUGGAAUUCCCGGUGUAGCGGUGAAAUGCGUAGAUAUCGAGGAGGAACACCGGUGGUGUAGACGGCUCUCUGGACCGUAACUGACGCUGAGGAGCGAAAGCGUGGGGAGCGAACAGG